GGGGGGGGUGCCUAUACAUGCAGUCGAGCGAACAGAUAAGGAGCUUGCUCCUUUGACGUUAGCGGCGGACGGGUGAGUAACACGUGGGUAACCUACCUAUAAGACUGGGAUAACUUCGGGAAACCGGAGCUAAUACCGGAUAACAUUUGGAACCGCAUGGUUCUAAAGUGAAAGAUGGUUUUGCUAUCACUUAUAGAUGGACCCGCGCCGUAUUAGCUAGUUGGUAAGGUAACGGCUUACCAAGGCGACGAUACGUAGCCGACCUGAGAGGGUGAUCGGCCACACUGGAACUGAGACACGGUCCAGACUCCUACGGGAGGCAGCAGUAGGGAAUCUUCCGCAAUGGGCGAAAGCCUGACGGAGCAACGCCGCGUGAGUGAUGAAGGGUUUCGGCUCGUAAAACUCUGUUAUUAGGGAAGAACAAAUGUGUAAGUAACUGUGCACGUCUUGACGGUACCUAAUCAGAAAGCCACGGCUAACUACGUGCCAGCAGCCGCGGUAAUACGUAGGUGGCAAGCGUUAUCCGGAAUUAUUGGGCGUAAAGCGCGCGUAGGCGGUUUCUUAAGUCUGAUGUGAAAGCCCACGGCUCAACCGUGGAGGGUCAUUGGAAACUGGGAAACUUGAGUGCAGAAGAGGAAAGUGGAAUUCCAUGUGUAGCGGUGAAAUGCGCAGAGAUAUGGAGGAACACCAGUGGCGAAGGCGACUUUCUGGUCUGUAACUGACGCUGAUGUGCGAAAGCGUGGGGAUCAAACAGGAUUAGAUACCCUGGUAGUCCACGCCGUAAACGAUGAGUGCUAAGUGUUAGGGGGUUUCCGCCCCUUAGUGCUGCAGCUAACGCAUUAAGCACUCCGCCUGGGGAGUACGACCGCAAGGUUGAAACUCAAAGGAAUUGACGGGGACCCGCACAAGCGGUGGAGCAUGUGGUUUAAUUCGAAGCAACGCGAAGAACCUUACCAAAUCUUGACAUCCUUUGAAAACUCUAGAGAUAGAGCCUUCCCCUUCGGGGGACAAAGUGACAGGUGGUGCAUGGUUGUCGUCAGCUCGUGUCGUGAGAUGUUGGGUUAAGUCCCGCAACGAGCGCAACCCUUAAGCUUAGUUGCCAUCAUUAAGUUGGGCACUCUAGGUUGACUGCCGGUGACAAACCGGAGGAAGGUGGGGAUGACGUCAAAUCAUCAUGCCCCUUAUGAUUUGGGCUACACACGUGCUACAAUGGACAAUACAAAGGGCAGCUAAACCGCGAGGUCAUGCAAAUCCCAUAAAGUUGUUCUCAGUUCGGAUUGUAGUCUGCAACUCGACUACAUGAAGCUGGAAUCGCUAGUAAUCGUAGAUCAGCAUGCUACGGUGAAUACGUUCCCGGGUCUUGUACACACCGCCCGUCACACCACGAGAGUUUGUAACACCCGAAGCCGGUGGAGUAACCAUUUAUGGAGCUAGCCGUCGAAAGGGACA
rnacentral:rRNA from 1 species